rnacentral:tRNA from 1 species
GCCGCGGCUCGCGGGGAUCGUCGACGCGUUCGGCGCUCGCGGUGCCGACGACCGCGCGUUCCUGCUGCGCGCUGCUGCG